UUUCAGUCUAGGAGAGUUCCUAUGUGUUUUUAAGAAUUUUUCCACUCAGCGUGCAAUGGAAGCAAAUAGCAGCCCCUUUGUAGUGAAUUCAGCCUUUUGCUUCUACAGGUUGCCAUAAGGGAUUUUAGAUAUAGUU